rnacentral:rRNA from 1 species
CGCGGCCUAUCAGCUUGUUGGUGGGGUAAUGGCCUACCAAGGCGACGACGGGUAGCCGGCCUGAGAGGGUGACCGGCCACACUGGGACUGAGAUACGGCCCAGACUCCUACGGGAGGCAGCAGUGGGGAAUAUUGCACAAUGGGCGCAAGCCUGAUGCAGCGACGCCGCGUGAGGGAUGACGGCCUUCGGGUUGUAAACCUCUUUCAGCACAGACGAAGCGCAAGUGACGGUAUGUGCAGAAGAAGGACCGGCCAACUACGUGCCAGCAGCCGCGGUAAUACGUAGGGAGCGAGCGUUGUCCGGAAUUAUUGGGCGUAAAGAGCUCGUAGGCGGUUCAGUAAGUCGGGUGUGAAAACUCAAGGCUCAACCUUGAGACGCCACUCGAUACUGCUGUAACUUGAGUCCGGUAGAGGAGUGUGGAAUUCCUGGUGUAGCGGUGAAAUGCGCAGAUAUCAGGAGGAGCACCAGCGGCGAAGGCGGCACUCUGGGCCGGUACUGACGCUGAGGAGCGAAAGCAUGGGGAGCAAACAGGAUUAGAUACCCUGGUAGUCCAUGCCGUAAACGUUGGGCACUAGGUAUGGGAUCAUAUCAACGGAUUCCGUGCCGUAGCUAACGCAUUAAGUGCCCCGCCUGGGGAGUACGG